ACAGGUGCUGGGGGCAUUGACACACUCGGACAAGUGUGCACUCAACUGCAACGGGAAAGAGACGUGAGUUGUGACACAAACGUUUGCAUGAAAAUGUUCAAACAUAUCAGGGCACAGAGAGCAUCCGGGUACUGGUACGAAGGCUGUUUAUCAGCUGCAGGUGUGUACGCAUCAUCUGCUCGCUGGACUUCAGGCGUAAAAUACAGUUUCAUCACAAGUAUGCACGUGUACACACCGAUAUACAGAAAUACAUUUACUGCAACAGUUCUUAAACUUCCAAUUCUCUUAGAACGAAUUGUUCAAACUGUCACAUGCCGUCUGAAGUGCCAGAGGUUAAAAAGGGGGAAAAAAAAAAGAAAAAGGAAAAACAGUACGCACACUCAAAGACUAUUAACAAAAACUGUACGAAACACAAAAAAAAAAAAAAA
rnacentral:lncRNA from 1 species